GACGAACGCUGGCGGCGUGCUUAACACAUGCAAGUCGAACGGAAAGGCCCUGCUUUUGUGGGGUGCUCGAGUGGCGAACGGGUGAGUAACACGUGAGUAACCUGCCCUUUACUUGGGGAUAACUUCAGGAAACUGGGGCUAAUACCGGAUAGGAGCUCCUGCUGCAUGGUGGGGGUUGGAAAGGUUCGGCGGUUGGGGUUGGAGUCGCGGCUUAUCAGCUUGUUGGUGGGGUAGUGGCUUACCAAGGCUUUGACGGGUCGCCGGCCUGAGAGGGUGACCGGCGACAUUGGGACUGAGGUACGGAGCAGUAUCCUACGGGAGGCAGCAGUGGGAAAUCUUGCACAAUGGGCGGAAGUGAGAUACAAAAACGCUGGGAGCGGGAUGACGGGUUUCGGGUUGUAAACCGCUUUCGGCUGUGACGAAGCGCGCGUGACGGUAAUGGGUAAAGAAGCACCGGCUAACUACGUG
rnacentral:rRNA from 1 species